UUGACAAUCACCCAAUAACAUCACUACCAAUCGCGUGAUCGUCAAGGCAUAACUGAAACGUGAGAGGAACGGUAUCGUAACCACCUAAACUAUUACGACGAAUCCUUCCUCUCUCUUCGGUGCGCUUUCUUCAUUGUCGAUCUUCCAAACCCUAAUUUCGUCAAUCUAAUGGACCAGACGUCGUUUUCUGACCACAAGCUCUGCGGUUACCUCUGUGCAGUUCUCACGGUUAAUCCCCCUCAUUCGAAUCUCAGCCAAACCCUACAUUUCAACACUCCAUGUUAUAUCUUCACUGGCGGAUCUGAAACCGGUUUCAGAUCCGAAAGCGGCGUCGCUUUGUCCCCAGUUUACACUAGACCUCGCGAGAACUGCGCCGUCUCGAAGGAAAAUUUGAGUGCAGGUACGAAACGGAGGCUGAGGAGGAUGGGAUUGGUUAACGGGAGCAUUAGUGUGGUGCACCAGCUGCAGUCGUUGGUUAAUCAGAAGUGUGUGAAGAUUGACGCGCGAGUGAUUCGCGUGGAGAUUGGGGAACAUGGGGAAGCCAGAGCUGUGGUGCUUGUGGAUGUUUAUUUGCCGAUUGCUGUGUGGUCCGGUUGGCAGUUUCCGAAGUUCGGCUCCGUUGCUGGUGCUAUGUUCAGACAUUUGAGUUGUGAUUGGGCACAUAGAAAGACAAUGCUUUCUGAUGGUGGUGGAUACUGUAAAGAUUCAAAUGGAAGUACAAUUUGGAAUAUUUCUGAUUGCCAUGUUCUCCACUGCAGUUUGCACUGUGGUGCCCCUAAUUCCUCUAAGAAAAAGCUUUUUGAACUGCAUGAAGUUUUUAAGAGCUUGCCUACUGUAUUAAAUCAGGGUAAGCUUGAUUCUUCUAGAAUAAAGCCAGAGUAUGAUUCUUGCAGCUCUGGCAUGUCAGAUGUGACAGAUGAUAUUCUUUUUUCUAUACUAACUCGGCUUGGUCCAAUGGACCUGGUCAAGGUUGCUGCAACUUGUCGUCAUUUAAGAACCUUGGCUGCAUCAAUUAUGCCUUGUAUGAAACUCAGGCUUUAUCCUCAUCAGCAGGCUGCAGUUGAAUGGAUGUUGCACCGGGAGCGGAAUUCUGAAGUUCUCCACCAUCCUCUGUACAUGGAUUUCUUGACUGAAGAUGGGUUUCCUUUCUAUGUUAAUACUGUUUCUGGUACUAUUGUUACUGGGUUGGUCCCCACUAUUAGAGACUUUCGUGGGGGAAUGUUCUGUGAUGAACCUGGACUAGGUAAGACUAUAACUGCUCUAUCUCUUAUUCUGAAGACCCAAGGAACACUGGCUGAUCCUCCGGAUGGAGUUCAAAUUUUCUGGUGCACUCAUAAUGGUGACCAGAGGUGUGGCUAUUAUGACCUUAGUGGUGAUAAAUCCACCUGUAACAAUAUCUUUGUAGAGAAAAGACUAGUGUAUCCAAAUGCUAGUCGGAGACAAUUAUCUUUAGAUAAAUUUAGUCCCGUCGAAGAUCUGAAGUGCUCGUUCCCCAAAAGAGCUAGGUUGAUGGAUCCAGGUGAGCUAAUUGAGGGAGUUGGCUCUUUUCCUGGCAUAGGAAUGAUUUCACCAUCAGAUACAAGCUCUGAACCUGCUUCACCUUUAUUUAGGUGCACAAGGAGCUUGGGUCGAAUAAGGAAGAACCUUUUUCAUGCUGAUGAUUUAGAGUCUAGUUAUUCUAACUAUGGCAAAACUAAAACAAAGUCAUCCACAAAGAAUCGUUCUAAUGACUCUAACCAUGUCUUUCAGAAAUCUCAAAUUGGUUUAUCAUAUAUAGUGUCAAACAAUUGCAAUAGGACUGACAAGGCUACUGCCGACCAUUUUGUAUCCAAUGAAACUUGGGUUCAGUGUGAUGCCUGUCACAAGUGGAGAAAGGUUGUAGAUGCUAGUGUAACUGAAGCUACAUCAGCUUGGUUUUGUAGUAUGAACACAGACCUUGCGCAUCAGAGUUGCAGGGAUCCAGAAGAAACUUGGGAUAAUUGUCAGUCUAUUACAUACUUGCCAGGAUUUCACAUUAAGGGAACUGCUAGUGGAACAAAGCAAAAUGUGUCUUUUUUUAUCAGUGUGCUAAAGGAACAUUAUGCCCUGAUAAAUUCUAAAACAAAGAAAGCAUUAACUUGGUUAACUAAACUUUCUCCAGAGAAUCUUGCUCAAAUGGAAACAAUUGGUUUAACAAGUCCAAUUUUAGGUGAGGGAGAUGGCCAAGGGUUCCGAAAAAUAUUUCAAGCAUUUGGUCUUGUGAGAAGACUGGAAAAGGGUACUAGUAGGUGGUAUUAUCCACGGACUCUUGAUAACUUGGCCUUUGAUUUGGAUGCUCUCAGAAUUGCUCUGUGUCAACCACUAGAUUCGGUCAGGUUGUAUUUAUCAAGGGCAACUUUAGUAGUUGUUCCUUCUUAUUUAGUUGACCACUGGAAAACCCAAAUCCAGAAACAUGUCAGAGCUGGACAGUUGCGGCUUUUUGUUUGGACUGAUCAUAAAAAGCCUUCUGCUCACAGUCUGGCUUGGGACUAUGAUAUUGUUAUCACUACCUUUAACCGUUUAAGUGCAGAAUGGGGCCCCCGCAAGAAAAGUCCAAUGAUGCAAGUGCAUUGGCUUAGGGUCAUGUUAGAUGAAGGACACACCCUUGGUUCAAGUCUUAACUUGACAAACAAAUUGCAAAUGGCUGUUUCAUUGGCUGCUUCAAAUCGUUGGCUAUUAACUGGAACCCCUACUCCAAACACUCCAAAUAGUCAGUUGUCUCAUCUUCAACCAAUGCUGAAGUUUCUUCAUGAAGAAGCAUAUGGAAAUGAUCAUAAGGCAUGGGAGACUGGCAUUCUUAGGCCAUUUGAGCUAGAGAUGGAAGGGGGUCGAUCACGUUUAUUGCAGUUGCUCCGUAGGUGCAUGAUUAGCGCUAGAAAGAUAGAUUUGCAAACCAUUCCACCAUGCAUCAAGGUGGUAACAUUUCUGGAUUUUAAUGAGGAGCAUGCAAAAAGUUAUAAUGAACUGGUAGUUACAGUACGGCGCAAUAUAUUAAUGGCUGACUGGAAUGAUCCUUCCCAUGUUGAAAGUUUACUGAAUCCUAAGCAGUGGAAAUUUCGAACUACUACUAUUAGGAAUGUCAGGUUAUCAUGCUGUGUAGCCGGACAUAUUAAAGUAACAGAUGCUGGUGAGGAUAUUCAAGAAACAAUGGAUAUUCUAGUUGAAAGUGGUCUUGAUCCUGCUUCAGAGGAAUAUGCUUUCAUUAAAUAUAAUCUCCUAUAUGGAGGCAACUGUCACAGGUGCAAGGAAUGGUGCCGUCUACCUGUCAUUACCCCCUGUAGGCAUAUUUUGUGCCUUGGAUGUGUUGCAUUGGACAGUGAAAGGUGUACCUUUCCUGGCUGUGGUAACUUAUAUGAAAUGCAGUCUCCUGAAAUAUUAACCCGCCCUGAAAACCCCAACCCAAAGUGGCCUGUCCCAAAAGAUCUUAUUGAAUUACAACCUUCGUAUAGGCAGGAUGACUGGAAUCCUGAUUGGCAAUCAACGUCCAGCAGUAAAGUUGCUUAUCUGAUAGAGAAGUUGAAGGCAUUACAGGAGGUUGAUAUGAAUGAAGAUAAUGGCAUCAGCCAUGCCAAGGAACUAGUUUGUCCACCUCAGAAGAGCAAUUUGAGCGAAUUGUCAGAGCAAAAUUGCUAUAGACCGAGUCUGGAGUCUUACAAGUCACUACCAGAGAAGGUUAUAAUCUUUUCUCAGUUUCUGGAGCAUAUACAUGUGAUCGAGCAGCAGUUAACAAUUGCUGGCAUCAAAUUUGCUGGUAUGUAUAGUCCAAUGCACUCUAGCAACAAGAUUAAGUCACUGGCGACAUUCCAGCAUGAUUAUAGCUGUCUGGCUCUUUUAAUGGAUGGAAGUGCUGCAUUGGGUCUUGAUUUGAGCUUUGUAACUCAUGUGUUUUUAAUGGAACCAAUCUGGGACAGAAGCAUGGAAGAGCAAGUCAUUAGUCGUGCUCAUCGGAUGGGUGCUACUCGUCCAAUUCAUGUUGAAACUCUAGCAAUGCGUGGUACAAUUGAAGAGCAAAUGCUGGAAUUCUUGCAGGAUACUGAUAAGUGUAGAAGAUUCUUGAAAGAGGAUUUUGGAAAACCUGAUCGUGAAGGGACACGGUCUCAUCGUACACUUCAUGAUUUAGCUGAGAGCAAUUAUUUAGCUCAGCUUAGUUUUGUGCGAACAAAUUCAUAAACAAAGUUGGAAUUAAAUUGAAGUUGAAGGGAGGGAGCGUUCAGUUCAAGUUCCAAGUUUCAGGAGUACUUAGAUUAAAUCUGGGUUGGUGGUACUAAUCUUGAAUGAAUUGGCUUAUUAUUUUCUGAUCCCGGUCAUGUCUGCUGAUUACACAUAUGAUUGAUGGUUCGCGUAGUGGAUCCCCCCCCCCCUUGAAGGUAAACAUUUAGUGUCACGUUUAUCCUCUUAAGCGGGUUUUCUGUUGAAAUCAGGUAAAUGAAUAUUCAUGCCAAAUUCCAGCCAUGGUGCCUUAAUUAAUUGAAAAAAAAUUGGCUGGUUUUACGACACUAAAUGUUUCCUUUGCUGCCAGAGAAAUUUUAGAAACUCAACUUCUGGGAGAGAUGUUUGCAUAUCAGUUUUGCUGGUUAUGCUUAGUGGAUAUGGGAGCCUGGCAGUUGGUUGAUUUGCCAGCGUCAUUUAAGCAUAUUGCAACGAUAAGAGAAUUCAUUGUAGGAGAACUAUGUUAUCAUACAAUGGUUCAGCACGAUGUCUCUAUGGGAUUGUUCAAAGUACAUGAAAUUCAAAAAAGACUUGAAAAAGAGGAAUGGUAUUCGACCAAGAUCCAUAUUGUUAAAAUAAUGCAAGUUCUUGUCAAACUGAAUGACCUUCUAAAAAGGAAUGCUACUAUCCAAAUUGACAAGGGAGUUAUUGUUGUAUUAUAGGAUAGGUAAGCAAAUAUUCAAGAAACCCUUCUCAAGGAAAAAUAAGGCUAGAUUACCUAAGAAAUUCUAUCAUUGAAUAUUUAUAUAUAUUUUCACCUGUUUAAUCACUAAAAAUUAUAGAAAAAUAUUUUGUAGA